rnacentral:misc_RNA from 1 species
CGCACAUUGCGCCCCCUGGUAUUCCGGCGGGCAUGUCUGUUUGAGCGUCAGUACGCACCUCUGCCACGGCUUUGCUGCCGGCAGGUUGUGGGCGCGCCGCCUCGCCGCGACGCCCCUAACGUAGUACGCUUGCGGGCUCCCACACAGAUGUCAACGUAGUAAACUUACGCUCGAUGCCUUCUUGUGGAACGUCUCGCCUGAACCAAACCUCAAGAGUUUGACCUCAGAUCAGAUAAGGAUACCCGCUGAACUUAA